rnacentral:lncRNA from 1 species
CUCUCUUGGAACAAUAGCAGCAAGCCACAUUCUUUGUACACUGAGAGAGAUUCCAUGGAACUAUCUGGACAUAGUGUGUGAUUUUUACACAGUUCACUUUAGAACUCUUUGCAGGAUUAAUAUAAGGUAUGUCCCCACUUAAAAUUCUCCAAGAAAGUUAACCAAAUUGGACUUUUUCUCAGUUCUCUCCACCAAUUCCAGUCAAUAACCGUUUGUUGUCUUGACUCCUGCUGAAGCACAGCGUUCCUGACUCAGAAGAACAUGCUUGCUCAGAAGUGCACGAUGUACACAGAUCCAACCACCAUGAGUGCUGUAGCCUCAGAUGACUUGACUAUGCAUACAGACAUGUGUCUGUUCCAAGAGAAGCAAUAGGCACAUUGCACCAGAGGAAGGACAAGCUUAAUGGGAUUGGGAUAAAACAUGAAAUGAUAGAAGCGAGUAACUUACAUCCGUCAUCUGGUGUAUUUGAAGACAAUGCGUACUGAGGGGAAAGAAAGAACGGAGAGAGAACAGCAGCACUGUUGGACAUUGCAUCUGUCAGCCAGUUCAGAGUUUAGAAAGUUACUGAAUCAUCUUCUGAAGAUACUUGUUUUUACAGAACAUUAUCUGCUUGGUUUGGCUAUGUACAUGUCAUCGGGCAUCAUGCACAGAGCUGAGGUGUGUGGAGAGGAAGCCUGGGAAAGGAUGAGGAAAGGAAUGGGGGUUCCCUUGACAAUUUACCAAUCUAU